rfam:Meloidogyne hapla strain VW9 Mh10g200708_Contig165, whole genome shotgun sequence.
CCAGCUAUAGCUCAGUUGGUAGAGCGUGGGACUGUAGAGUAAUGAAGUAAUCCUGAUGUCGCUGGUUCGAAUCCGGCUAGCUGGA